AUGCCAUGAUGAGGACAUAUUUUGAGCAACUCUUUAAAUCUCUCACAAGCUUCAUACAAGCUUCAUACAAGAGGACAUAUAAACUCUUUAAUGCCAUGAUAAAGGUU
rfam:Citrus clementina cultivar Clemenules unplaced genomic scaffold scaffold_9, whole genome shotgun sequence.